ACAAUUUUGUAUCCUUGAAGGCUGCGAUAAACACGAGGCGUAAGAUUACUUUAGCCCUUGAAAUUCCCGUGGGAGCAAAGCUUAAAUACUACAAUUAUUAUAGGUGACGAAUUAACCAGUUUAUCUCCAAUCGUACUUAUGAGUCACGCUAUUCCGGGAUGCUUGCUUUGUCAUAUUAUUCGUCAUUUGCAAACAAUUAUCACGAUAAGUUUGGCUUUAUUUGAAGUCGUUUAAAAAAUAGUGCUACGUUAUAAAUAAUUAGUUCACGCCUUUUUACCGAGGCAUAUCUGGCAUAACAUUAGAAAAAAUCUAGGCAUUUCUUGAUUCACAUACGUCCUUAACCCUUACGAAGUGGACAGAGUCCCUAGAAAAGGCCACGUUUACAUCGAUAGCUCGAUGAUAUAAUUCAUAAAAAUUUUAUGUUUACCUCGAGCAAAAUUAUAAACAAGAUGCCAUGGAUGGGAUUCAAAGAGAUUAAUCAUCGAUCAUUUUCGAAAAGAAGGACGAUUUGUUUGUUUCGGAUACUUUUCCAGCGGUAUUGUGUCUACAGAUGUUUCGUCGUAAGGCAGAAAUAACAACUCACAAUAUUUUUCCUCGCUAGAUGUCAUACAGACAACACCAUCUGAUGCUCCGAUGGAUGUUACAAUUUCUUCAGCUUCGUAAACUGAAAGUCCUGAUGAUG